AUUUUGGUGCAGUGUUAGUAACAUAGCUCAUGAGGUUUAUCCAAGGCGUGAUUGUUGCUAAUUGAAAACGUUACCCAAUACCCCGCCUUGAUGACUUGAAACAGGCAGCUAUGUCAAUAUUUAGUAGUCUCCGUUGAGA